GCAUAUCAAUAAGCGGAGGAAAAGAAACCAACAGGGAUUACCUCAGUAACGGCGAGUGAAGCGGUAAGAGCUCAAAUUUGAAAGCUGGCUCCUUCGGGGUCCGCAUUGUAAUUUGCAGAGGAUGUUUCGGAAGCAGCCCCCAUCUAAGUACCCUGGAACGGGUCGUCAUAGAGGGUGAGAAUCCCGUAUGGGAUGGGGUGUCUGCGUCCAUGUGAAACUCCUUCGACGAGUCGAGUUGUUUGGGAAUGCAGCUCUAAAUGGGUGGUAAAUUUCAUCUAAAGCUAAAUAUUGGCCGGAGACCGAUAGCGCACAAGUAGAGUGAUCGAAAGAUGAAAAGCACUUUGAAAAGAGAGUUAAAAAGCACGUGAAAUUGUUGAAAGGGAAGCGCUUGCGACCAGACUCGCCUCGGGGGUUCAACCGGCAUUCGUGCCGGUGUACUUCCCCCGGGGCGGGCCAGCGUCGGUUUGGGCGGUCGGUCAAAGGCCCUCGGAAUGUAACGCCUCUCGGGGCGUCUUAUAGCCGAGGGUGCCAUGCGACCUGCCCGGACCGAGGAACGCGCUUCGGCUCGGACGCUGGCAUAAUGGUCGUAAGCGACCCGUCUUGAAACACGGACCAAGGAGUCUAACAUCUACGCGAGUGUUCGGGUGUCAAACCCGUGCGCGCAGUGAAAGCGAACGGAGGUGGGAACCCUUACGGGUGCACCAUCGACCGCAUCCUGAUGUCUUCGGAUGGAUUUGAGUAAGGCGUAGCUGUUGGGACCCGAAAGAUGGUGAACUAUGCCUGAAUAGGGCGAAGCCAGAGGAAACUCUGGUGGAGGCUCGCAGCGGUUCUGACGUGCAAAUCGAUCGUCGAAUUUGGGUAUAGGGCGAAAGACUAAUCGA
rnacentral:rRNA from 1 species